CAACCAUCUCACCUCACCUCUCCAUCCAGAAUUUUAUACAAUCAUUUAAAUUUGAUAAUUCUGUUAUUCAAAGAUAAGAAGAAUAAAAUUAUUGGAAUCUAAAAACAAAGGAAAGUCGCUAGAUUUUUACUAAGUCCAAAUUCCUUGUGGAAAUCCAAGGGCAUAAAAUAGAGAACCAGUAGACAUUGAAUUGAAAUCCAUAGGCAAUUUCUACGAUUUGCUACGAUUUAAACUUCUGAUUUGCUACGAUUUAAGUUGUUAUAUAUAUUUUUAAAUUUGGUAGGAUCUUACAAUCGGCAAAAGUUAUGGUGCAUAAGCCAUUUCCUUAUGCAUCGUGCAUAAACACAUCACAACCAUCAGAUUUCUUUUAUUUUGAACAAAAAUGAUUUUGGCUCACUUUGGGGGUGUAGGAAGCAAUUAUGUUGGGAUUUAUGCAUGGUGCAUAAGGAUUUCCUUAUGCACCAUUACCACUCCCUGAUUAUUAGACAACCUACCAUGUUAAGAUGCAAUGCUUAUUUUUUGGUCAAAUAGAUGCAAUACUUUUUUUAUUUAAUGGACGUCAGCUUUUUCAUAUAUUCAUUUGUUUUCCGUGCCUUGUAUUUUUUAUUUAUUUUUUAUAUACAUUUUGCCAUAUUAAAUUUAACUCAUAUUUUGGCAUCUUAUUUUGUCCAGCUGUAGACCCUUCUACCAGCAAGCCAGAUGCCCUUUUCAAUGAGCAACCACCCCAGGCAAGUUUUUCUGGAUGGGUCCUUUUUUCUUUUGAUUCAAAUUUCACAAUUUUAGUUUCUUUUUACAUAUUUGAAUUCAUUCUUAACUGGGAUCCAAAUACUUCUUGGUAAAACAGCUUCUAGGAGCUCAUAAACUCCGAUCAUAAGAUCUGGUAACAUUCUCUCCCAAAUUGUCCCAUAAGCACUUGCAACAGCAGACAAGCCAAAAUAAUCCAAACAUAAGCAUUUCCAAACAGCCCCCCUAAUAAUGAGCAACUUGUACUUUAUUUUGUUUUCACAUAAGUACCCCAUUCUUCAACUUUCCACCUAUCUGACUAGGGUAUUACAUAUAAAUCAGACAUUUAAUGCUCUUGAGGAUUUUGUCUUGAAUAAGUUCAAUAUUACAAUUUGCUUUGUGUGCCAGUUUGCAUAAUAUGGGAUUAGUGUUGAAUAUCUGCUCCAUUUUAUUUUUUUGUAACAUGUAUCUUUGGUGGGUGUGUGUGUUUGUUGUAAUCGUCUAAUUUUUUCUGCAAAACUUCAGCUCAGUUGUUUAUAACAUACAUUGAUAAAAUGCGUGCUUGAGUUGUAUCCGUAAUGUUGUGUAUGAAUGAGAGAUGAGGAUUUGAACUGUUUGAUUUUGCUUUACCCUCCUGAUUUCCUUGCCGAUUGUUGUUUAAUGACAUAUUUAGACACCUUGAGUCUCUGAUUAAAUUUUUAACCAGGAGGUGAAACCCGAAACCGAUGAAAAGACUAAAGUGUACUAUCAUGCAAUUGGAAAGCUAGAGUUUCUUCUUAUGAACUAUCAGCUAGGCCUUCGGUCUAUGCUCCAAUUUUUAAACAAGCAGGAGAAACUGAAAACUUACAAAAAUAUUGAAGUUCAUGAGACUGAAUUUGAAGAGCUAAAGUUUCGUGUUGAGAACUUUGGCGGAGCAACCACCAUCGAGCGGAUCUUGAAGGUCAGAAAUGAUGUAUAGUUCUUGAACCAUCAUGCCAUGGAUUGAUAUUAUUGUACUCCCUCCUCGAUAUGUGGAUUAAUCUUGUCAUAAAAAAUAAAUAUAUUUCUACUCUUUAAAAAAGAAGUAAUAUUUGUUACAAUUUUAGUAAUGAUAAUGCAUUUUUUUUUCUUUGAAAGAGUAAUGUUUAUGCGUGAUACCACAAAUUGUUAUCUUCAAUCCAUUUUUUCAAAUACAUGGCCACGAUUUCCACCAAAUCCGGACUUCACAAAUUUUCAUUUGUGAGUUCGAAAUAGUAUAUAACACAUUACUGCUUAGCCACAUAUUUCGUCUGAUUGUUUUGUUGAGUUUGUCUUUUGGGGAUUGCACUUACGUAACAUUGUGGCGGGCUAUGUCACAUGACAUAGUAAGAUUGUGCCACGUGUUGCUUCUUUUUAAAAAAAAAAUAAAAAAUAAAAUGAAAUAAAAGAAAAGAAACAAAGCAGAAGCAAAACGCGCACAUCUUCUUCUCCUUCAAAACGCGUUCGGCGUUCCCUCAUUUCUCCCUUGCUUCACUUCUCCCUGUGCUAUCCACCCACAAUAAUUUGUGCAGAGACCGCCUUCACUUCUCCAUCAUUCGCCGCCUCCUUCCUCCGUUGCCGUAAUCAUCUAUGCACAGGCCACCGUCGAUUUUCAUGAACUAAUGGAUUGAUGAAAUGCGUCGUAGAGGUAUUGUUUCUUGCUCAGCUUUAAUAUCUUGUCUUGUUAAAAACAAUCUUCCAGCUGAAGCUCUUCCUGUUUUCCAACAAAUGCAGUGGGUCAUUCUAAUGUUUGAAAUUCACUUGAUAGGGCUAUUAUGUUGAGCAUAGGUGUGAUUGAAUUGGGUAUUUGGGUUCAUUAUUUUAUUGUCAGGAUGAUGAUUGUUAUUACUGUUCCAUUGUGUACUGCUAUAUAUCUGAGAUGUGGGUCGAUUGAUCGUUCUGUUAGGGUGUUUGAUGAAAUGCCGGAAAGAAAUAUACUUACGUGGAUAGCGUUGAUUAAUGGGCUUGCUGUUCAUGGACGUAGUAGGGAAGCUUUGAAAGUUUUUGAUGUGAUGAAAGAGUCUGGUUUGAAGCCUGAUGGGGUGUUAUUUAUAGGUGUUUUGGUGGCUUGUAGUCAUGGUGGUGGAAAUGCCUUUGAAACCAAACUAUGUUAUUUGGAGGACUUUGCUUGGAGCAUGUGUGAAUCAUAAUCAUCUUGUGUUGGCUGAAAAGGCAGGGAAAGGAUCGUUAAGAUUGACCCACGUAAGGCUGGCUUGAGAAAUUCCUUGAGGCAUAAUAGAAUUUUCAAGGAGCCUGGGCUCAAGUGUGCUCAAGUGAGGCUUAGACAAUUGCUACAAGCACUGCUGUUUAUAGUUCAAGUGAAGUUGUGUUGUUAUAGUUCAAGUGAAGCUGUUAUAGUUCAAGUGAGGUUUCUGGCAGAACGCAAACAUUGUUGUUAUAGUUCAAAUAUCAUGAUGAUAUGUUCUAAUCUCAUUACUGUAUUGUUCAAAAAUAAACAAGCAUUAUAUGCUGUAAUAUCACUACUCUGUUGUAAUCACACUGUUGUUAUAGUUAAUGAAAUUUUCUUUGCCCUUUCAAAAAUAAACUUAUAACAGAAAAAAUGACACAAUUUAUUAGUUACAGUACCAUAAACAAAAAAAAUGCUAAAACCGCAAUGCAUAAAUGCAGGUAAAAAAAACUUGAAACGCUGCAACACAUUAAUGCAGAAACGCAAUUUCUACCAGAAACGCAAGUAAAAAAACCUGAAACGCUGCAACGCAUAAACGUAGUUUCUUUAACUAUUACUAGAAACACAACACUAAAAUCGCAAAAAAGUAGUAGCUGAAAUGCAUAAAUACCGAAACGCAAUACUAUAAAUGCAUAAACGCAUACUGCAGUACACAUCAGAUGAUUCAAGAUCGGAACCAAUAGUAAAUAACAAUUUUCCUCCGUAUAUAAUAAUCGAAGAUAACAAAAUACUUGUUCAAAAUACAAAAUCAAGGUAUAUUUUUUAGCAUAUCUCCAAAACAUNGGGCUUGAAGGCAAAUAAUAAAAGUGAAGGUUAGUUUUCCCAAUGCUAUAAUAGUUUAUGUUUUUAUGACUUUAUGUUAUUGACUUCACAACCAACCCUGUGAAGAUAGAUUUUUUCUUUUCUUUUUUGUUUCAUGUAAACCCAAGAAAAUUGUUAACCGUGUUAGGGAAAAGCGGAUUUCGCGGCCGCUUUACAUGGAGCGGUAGCGGGUCAAAUCGCCCACUUUUCCACUUUCCCGGGUCUGAGUACAAAACGAGAGAAAGAGAGCCAAAAACGACUUUGUUUUUAUAAUCGACCCAUGUGACCCGGUUUUUGACCCGGUUCGCUAGGAAUAAUAGAAGUUCGUUAUUUGUUGAAUAAAUUAAAAUAAAUGCAUAUUUAUGAUUUCUUUGACAUUGCUUGCUGAAAAGUCACACAAUGAAUGUGCCAGUUAAAUGCAUAUUUUGAUAGUUAUUUUUCUGACAAAUUAUUUUAAUACUUAAUAUUAUUGGUUAUUAAUUAUCUUUCUUAAUUUCAAUAUAAUUUUAUUUCAAAUCAUGAAUACUUCAUAAAAUUUGAUUAAUAUUUAAGGUAUUUUAGUAUAUUUUUUGUAUAUUAUGGUAUUUUAAUAUUAAAUAUAUUAGUGUCCGCGUCAUGAAAUAGCGUCCGCUACGCGCUGCGUCAAUUUUUGGGGUGGCCGCUUUCUGCUUUGACAGCAGAGUAUAAUGAUGUUGAUCCCUAUCACUGCGUUUCGUGCUUAUUGGAAUCCUAAAUUGCUCGGAGACGAUGGAAUCUCCAUGCUAAGUGGUGGAUUCUGCUACUAUUCUACAUGUUCUGCUAUUUCUGAGUUUUCCUGGUCUGGUCAGGCGACCUGGUUUCAAUUAAAACGACCCUCAAAUAUCCCUCUUUGGAAGCUUUAUGUUGUUUUUGUUAAGGGGAGGGAUAUUUUGACUCCAACCAUCUCACCUCACCUCUCCAUCCAGAAUUUUAUACAAUCAUUUAAAUUUGAUAAUUCUGUUAUUCAAAGAUAAGAAGAAUAAAAUUAUUGGAAUCUAAAAACAAAGGAAAGUCGCUAGAUUUUUACUAAGUCCAAAUUCCUUGUGGAAAUCCAAGGGCAUAAAAUAGAGAACCAGUAGACAUUGAAUUGAAAUCCAUAGGCAAUUUC
rnacentral:lncRNA from 1 species